GAACUUGAUACAGUACAUUGCAGGCUGGCCAGAGAAGUAUACUAAAUACACCAUUCUAAUGUAAUACUGGUAAAUUACCUCAACUACAGUCACUCUCACCUUGUUCAAGUUCAAAUGCAGUUAAUUAUCAAAUACCAUCCCCUUUAGUGAAGUUAAACAGCAAGUCUUAUUACAGUCCAAUAGAUUUGUGUAGAAAUUCCUUCAUGCUGCCUCCUAUAUAUAGAUAAUGAGAGGGAACAACUUCAGCUCAGUUGAUGAAAUACUGUGCGGGUCAGAAACACACUUCUUACAUUUACAGCUAAAAACGAAUAAUAUAUUUGCACUUUAUAUUAGGCCUUAGCAAAGUCCUCCCACCAAAUAGUGUCACAAAAACAGAAUAAUUAGAAAAUUGCUAGGCCUACACAUUGAGGUGUGCUACAAGAUAACUGGUAACUCUGUAAACAGGAGUAGGUGCAUCACUGGUCACUGAGCUGGCCAGCUAAAGUUAGUUAGUUAGUCACAUAAAUGUACGUUCAGCCUGAUGAUUAUUUAUCUUACGAAGUCAGCAUGGCUUAACAUAGUUUAUUUCGUUUUUGACCUCGACAUUGUUGCUGGAUAGAUACUUUCAUACGUAAUAUGCUGGCGCUGCUAGCUAGCUAAUGCUAACGGCGCUAGCUAACCUCAUAUCUGGAUGCCCCACUCUAGUUCCCGAGAGAGCAGCAUACUGGCCCUCCAUUCCCAAACCUGAAGCCACCUGUCCCCAGCAGGAAAGACCAGGAAAAAGUGCUAGCUUAAGGUACAACUUCCAUUUUGAGGAAAUAUAAGACAACUCAAUGUCACAUUUAGAUUUAGAGUUACUGACAUGAAUAGAAGCAUAUACAAGCAAUCUAUCAAAUGUAUUUUAUUAAACCCCAUUUUACAUCAGCAGUAGUCACAACGUGCUUAUACAGAUACCCAGCCUAAACCCCAAAGAGCAAGCAAUGCAGAGGUAGAAGCAGUGUCUAGGAAAAACUCCCCAGAAAGGCAGGAACCUAGGAAGAAACCAGGCUCUGAGGGGUUGCCAGUCCUCUUCUGGCUGUGCUGGUGGAGAUUAUAAAAGAGUCCAGCUAUUUAGCCAGAUUAUUCUUCAAGAUGUUUAAACGUUCAUAGAUGACCAGCAGUGUCAAAUAAUAGAGGGUCGCUGGAACUUCCAGAGGCUUGUAAACCUGAAGCAGUGUGAUGUGGUCCAGAUCUGACACCCCUAUUAGCUCAACCACAGUCUUCACAGCUGCAGUCGUCUGCCCCUGCAUCUGCUACACCGGCCACGACAGGUGAUACAGAUCUGCCACCCCCAGCAGUUCAGCUGCAGUCACAGCAGUCCUCUGCUGUGGUAUUUAAUUUACCGGCUGCACCAGGUCCUACUACACUGGCCGUUAAGGAAGAAACUAUUUUUUACGAUACCCAGAUGAAUACAGAUCUGCCAUGUACUCCACCACUGCCUGACAGCCUCACCCAGACGUGCAUACACACGGGGCCUAGCAAGACUGACAAAGCAGAGAUGGGUGGCUGACAAGGAAAAAUAAAACAACAUGCACUCAAACACAUUAUACACAAUGUAAAUAAGUUGUAAUUACCUGUUCAUUUAAUGUUUGGUCCAUUUUAUUUUAGGAUUGGAGAGAUCUACUCCUUCAUAUCCAUUGUCAAUAUCUACAUAAUUACUCUAAAUAUCUAUCAAAUUAAAGUGUGAUUGAUAAUUUUGUAAAAGGC